GUCAGCGUGGUGUAGUGGUUUGAGCAUUAGACUAUGACUCUGGAGACCAGGGUUCGAUUCCUGGCUUGGCCA